CCUACGGGGCGCAGCAGUGGGGAAUAUUGGACAAUGGGCGAAAGCCUGAUCCAGCCAUGCCGCGUGUGUGAAGAAGGCCUUCGGGUUGUAAAGCACUUUCAGUGGGGAAGAAAGCCUUGGGGCUAAUACCCUCGAGGAAGGACAUCACCCACAGAAGAAGCACCGGCUAACUCCGUGCCAGCAGCCGCGGUAAUACGGAGGGUGCGAGCGUUAAUCGGAAUUACUGGGCGUAAAGCGCGCGUAGGCGGUCUGAUAAGCCGGUUGUGAAAGCCCCGGGCUCAACCUGGGAACGGCAUCCGGAACUGUCAGGCUAGAGUGCAGGAGAGGAAGGUAGAAGUCCCGGUGUAGCGGUGAAAUGCGUAGAGAUCGGGAGGAAUACCAGUGGCGAAGGCGGCCUUCUGGACUGACACUGACGCUGAGGUGCGAAAGCGUGGGUAGCAAACAGGAUUAGAUACCCCUGUAGUC
rnacentral:rRNA from 1 species